rfam:Exophiala spinifera strain CBS 89968 unplaced genomic scaffold supercont1.4, whole genome shotgun sequence.
GCAAUCGACCAUAGGGUGAAGGAAAGCAGGGCUUCCCGUCCGCUCAGCCAUACUUAAACCUCACGCCGGUGGCUCAGUAGUUGUAUCGGUGACGAGCAGCGAAGCUCCACUGUUGAUUGUU